rnacentral:tRNA from 1 species
AGCCCGGUAGUGUAGCGGUCAAUCAUGUGAGACUCUGGAUCUCACGACAGCAGUUCGAAUCUGCUCCGGGCUA